AAUGGCUGUCUGGCAGAGAAGUAUAUGCAUGGUAUCUAUUAGUUUGUGGUCCUGUUUGGUCAGUAUGAGGUUCUUCGUGCUCUCUUUGUGCUUGACCAUAUUGUGGUGACUCUGUUGCUUGAGAGAAUUGAACAUAAAAAAUAAUAAGACACAUAACUUUGUUUGUAUCUGGACAAUUAUUCAAUAGGAUGAAAACUUUGUACAAGUAAAAGUGUUUUUGUUCCCUAAUUUACCUCAUUUUAUUCUAAACUUUGUCCGUUGGUUAAAAAAGCGUCUGGAAUAUUUGAAUUAAGAAUCCCAUGCAAAUUUUCUCUUAAAACUCAAAAUACCAAUCACGCUUCAAAUGAAGUCCAUGGUCAUCAGUCUAAAAGUCAGGCUACAUCGUCUCUGAAGAAAAAUAUAUUCUCAUAUUGUACAAGAUUUUCCAUUAUCCAACAGCAGUGGUAUCUUCGCUCCUCUCUUCCAUCUCCUCAGAAGGCGCAGGCACAAACCACGGCCACCACCACUAUGUUUCCAAUGGUUGCCAGCACCGCGAUCCACAGCCAAAUGGUGUCGCUGGAUACCUUCCCAUCAUCCUCUGCUUCUGAGGGUCGAGAGUAGCCGGCGUUGAGGUUGGAGGUGGACGUCUGCAAGGACGUGUUGCCAUUGUACGGGGAAUCCAUGAAGGCCCCGCUCACAGCCGGGAAAUGCUGCCAGAGAAGAGCCCUGAGGGGGUUCGUCGUGCUACGGCGAAUCCCUUACAAAGCUUCCCCAUAGUGACUACGAGUUUAUAAAUCGAUCAAUACAAUAAUCUGUAACCAAUAAACUAUCUUUCAAAUCUCA